rnacentral:rRNA from 1 species
AUUGAACGCUGGCGGCAGGCCUAACACAUGCAAGUCGAGCGAGAAAGGUCUUCGGACUGAGUACAGCGGCGGACGGGUGAGUAAUGCGCAGGAAUCUACCUGGUAGUGGGGGAUAACUCGGGGAAACUCGAACUAAUACCGCAUACGCCCUACGGGGAAAGCGGGGGACCUUCGGGCCUCGCGCUAUCAGAUGAGCCUGCGUAGGAUUAGCUUGUUGGUGAGGUAAAGGCUCACCAAGGCGACGAUCCUUAGCUGGUCUGAGAGGAUGAUCAGCCACACUGGAACUGAGACACGGUCCAGACUCCUACGGGAGGCAGCAGUGGGGAAUAUUGCGCAAUGGGCGAAAGCCUGACGCAGCCAUGCCGCGUGUGUGAAGAAGGCCCUUGGGUUGUAAAGCACUUUCAAUUGGGAAGAAAGGUUGCGUGUUAAUAGCACGUAGCUGUGACGUUACCUUUAGAAGAAGCACCGGCUAACUCCGUGCCAGCAG